rnacentral:misc_RNA from 1 species
GAUGAUGAACGUAGCGAAAUGCGAUACUUGGUGUGAAUUGCAGAAUCCCGUGAACCAUCGAGUCUUUGAACGCAAGUUGCGCCCGAAGCCAUUAGGCCGAGGGCACGCCUGCCUGGGCGUCACACGUCGUUGCCCCCCCAUCUACUCCUUCGGGAUUGCGGGGGGCGGAUGAUGGCCUCCCGUGCGCCUCGUCGCGCGGUUGGCAUAAAUGCCAAGUCCUCGGCGACACACGCCACGACAAUCGGUGGUUGCGAAACCUCGGUUGCCCGUCGUGUGCGGUCGUCGCGCAUCGAGGGCUCGAAAAAAUUGCCGGGCUCCGGCUCGGCUUUCAACGCGACCCCAGGUCAGGCGGGGUUACCCGCUGAAUUUAAGCAUAUCAAUAAGCGGAGGA